UCAGUUAAUUUUGUUGUAUUUCAAAGUUUGCAAUAGAAACUAUAGACCAAAACGUUUUGGUAGGAUUUGUGUUUUUGCAGUGUUUUAUGGAAUGCAUCCACUCCGUCUUUACCUUUAAGAAGAUAAUUUCUGGAAUUUAGAGCAUGAAGAGAUUUUAAAGAUGAAAACAGGGGGGAUUAAAGAGUGAAAACUACAGUUUCUGCAGAGUUAAAGUGGUCCACUGAAAGCACGUGUGAGCCCACUACACCACGAGCCCUGCCAGUGCCCACAGCGGCCACAAGGCAAGACAUAAACAAGACUGGCCCCACUGUUUGCAUUCCUGGUGUUGGACAUUUCAAGGCAGCACUGACAGAUGUGUGUAAAAAUACACACGGCAUAAGUACGGACCGCACAGCUGGAAAAUGUCAGGCGGUUUAAAGCUGAUGCCGCUGUUUACUACUCAGACUUGAAGUGCAUUAUCUCUGCUUGCUUUUUCUGCCCGAGGCGAGCCGAGGGAAGAUGAAGACGGCUGGACGGGGUCAGGCGUUGUGGAAGAGGCCCCCAGGCUGGGGAAGCUGAUCAAAACAAGCUACCUCAAACAUCACACACCUGUUAAAUCCAUCAUUCACAACAUCAUCAGUGUGUUUCAGUGUCUGAAGACGUUGUGCUACGUACCGUACUUAUCCAGGAAGAGGAAGAAGAAAGUGUCGAUAAUGGUGAUGAGCACACCGGCCCAGAGGGGGAUCCUGUCAUCAAAACACACAGCAACUGAAGAAGCUCAAUUUUUAUGUUUUAGCACCAAACGACCUGUGAUUCUGGAUACCAAACGCCCUCAAAACGGCAUCAACUUCUCACCAGAGACUCCCUUUGGAAGCCCAUAGACAAUGCUACAAAAUAUCGCCCUCUGGUGGCCCCCACUUUGAUAAACACUGCCACACCUGUGAGAGGACAGGAGGUUGAACGCGAUGGCGCAGCCGAUGACCUCCU